rnacentral:lncRNA from 1 species
GUACAGGAUGGCUUCUGUGGUUCCUUCAACCUCCAAAUCCAUGAUCCAAUGAACUGGCGGUAGCAGAAAAUAAAGGCAGCACUUAGAAUCAACUAUCUUGCUUGAAUUAGCAACUUUCAGGGAGCAUUUUGCUAGUUAAAGUAAGGCUCUGCCAUCGGUUAAUUUUUAGUUUCCUCCUUUCCUAAGAUAAGAAGGGAUCAAAGAGAAGAAAGAGGAAUAAAAAUAAAAGCACCAGGAAGCAAAUCCGAGGUCUAAGCAAGGAAUAAGUUCUAAGUGGGCUGGACAGAUUCCGGGGCAGAUUUUAAAAAAUGAUUAUCAAUAGAUGUGCCUGGUUCCUGGAAUUGGAGACGAUGCUGCCCCGAUGUGGACAAUCACGGUAUUGUCACCACCACCACACUGCCCAGUAAUAGAAGUUCCUAGGAUUCACCACCAGUAAAGGCAUGAGUGAGCCAGCGAGCUGAGGCUCACACAGGUAGACCUGUUCUUGGGCCUAAGGCUUCAUUCACUUAUUUUAGACUUCUCCUCCUUCCGCUUCCACAGUCCACUUUCCCCCAACUUAUUCGCGCGGCUUUUCCGGCCAAAGUAAACCAAGUCGGGUCUAUUGGGAAUGUGGCCACCGCUGCAGUAGAUCCCCAUCGGGCUCCUGCCUCAACAACCCCUCUGCGCCAGCUCAGGCCCGCCUCCCUCUUCUGCAGGCUUUCCGCAAGCUCGGUUGGACCAGUGUCCCUCCCUUGCCUGUGGGGAGGAGAAGAAUCAGCUUCCAGCGCAGUUUCCCAAUUUUGGGGCCAAGGCAACUCGUUGCAGCUCGCUCUCCCUCCCUCCCCGCCUCUGCCUCCUGUGGCCUGCGAAGGAGGAGGGGAGGAGGAGCUGGAGGAGGAGCUGCAGAGGCAGUGGAGGCACUCCGCCGCGGGGGCCGCGGCGCUGGAGGCUCCGGCAGCAGCAGGUGUGGAUGAGGCGACGGAGGUAGAAGAGCUACAAUAAAUAAUAUCCAUCAAAAGUGAACUGAAGCCAUAAAGAAGGAGAUCAUUUCAUUUAUUCAGAGCUGGAGAGGAGGCAAGAUGUUGGCAUAGCUGUUGAACUGAGAACCUGCUAUGCCAACAUAUUGCCAUCUUUCUUGUCUAUCAGCAACCAUGGUAUCCUUUGUGUUUGCUCCAGCAAUUUUCUGUGGAUAUCCUUAUAUCUAUCUUUCUAACUACUCCAAUCUCCUUAGUCUGUCAAGAGAUAAAUAAUUUGAGUGAUACCUACAUUUCUUUCUAUUCAGUAAUAUAAUUGUGAUAAAACAACAUUAAUAAUAGAUAGCAUUCAUAUAGUAUUUUAAGAUUUUCAAAGUACUUUACAGGUAUCAUUUCAUUUGAUUCUCACAACUCUAGGAGGUAAAUGUGUUGUUAUUGACAUUUUACAGAUGAACAAAAUGAAGCAGAGGUUGAUUUACCCAGAGUCACAUAGAUCAUUAAAUGUCUAAAGACUGAUUUGAACUCAGAUCCUCCUAUUUCCAGAACCAACAUCCUUUCCACAAUUCCACCUAGUUGCCUUUUGCCUAUCAUCAGAUCUCUAUUUCCAAAGCUGCAUGCUAUUUAGUUUGAAUGUUAUUUUUAAAUGAUUUGUUUUAGAAAACUUAUAAAGAAACUUACACUAACAUAGUAAAUUCAUACUCAACUAAACUAACUUAUACCAUUUAGUGUAAGGGAAAAAAGUAUUGUGCUUGGUGGUAAAAAGCCUGGUUUUAAUUCCCACCGUUGACACAUUAGUUUCACUGUGGACAUCUCAUUAUCUGAACCUCCUUCCCUGUUAAUAAAACAGAUUAUUAUUCCUUGUACUGCCUUCCA